AGGGAUGGGCGUGUGGGGUCCGCGCCCGGCAUGGGCGCUGAGGAGCUGCCGUCAGCGGGGCCGUGCGCUGUCAGCGCCAAGCGUCUGUUCGUCCCUGACUUUUAGCUUCUAAUAUUCCAUUAAAGGACUGGCAUGCAUGGAAGAAAGCAUGGGCCAAAAGUUUCUUGAAAGUCUGUAAGACACAACAACUGAGUGGAACACAGUUGGCUCAAAUAAAUGCUCAUUGGUGU